GACGAACGCUGGCGGCGUGCCUAAUACAUGCAAGUAGAACGAGUGGCGAACGGGUGAGUAACGCGUGGUAAAAUGCCCCAUAGCGGGGGAUAACUAUUGGAAACGGUAGCUAAUACCGCAUACUGUGAGAUGGAUCGGCGUUGUAUUAGCUAGUUGGUGAGGUAAAGGCACACCAAGGCGACGAUACCUAGCCGACCUGAGAGGGUGAUCGGCCACACUGGAACUGAGACACGGCCCAGACUCCUACGGGAGGCAGCAGUGGGGAAUAUUGCACAAUGGGCGCAAGCCUGAUGCAGCCAUGCCGCGUGUAUGAAGAAGGCCUUCGGGUUGUAAAGUACUUUCAGCGGGGAGGCGUUACCCGCAGAAGAAGCACCGGCUAACUCCGUGCCAGCAGCCGCGGUAAUUC
rnacentral:rRNA from 1 species